rnacentral:rRNA from 1 species
UCACGCGGAAUUUUUCGGAAGGAAGCGGGAGUGACUUAGCGGCGGACGGGUGAGUAACGCGUGGGUAACCUGCCCCAUACCGGGGGAUAACGGUUAGAAAUGACCGCUAAUACCGCUUAAGCGCGCGAGGCCGCAUGGCCGCGCGCGAAAAACUCCGGUGGUAUGGGAUGGGCCCGCGUCUGAUUAGGUAGUUGGCGGGGUAAGGGCCCACCAAGCCGACGAUCAGUAGCCGACCUGAGAGGGUGGCCGGCCACAUUGGGACUGAGACACGGCCCAAACUCCUACGGGAGGCAGCAGUGGGGAAUAUUGCGCAAUGGGGGAAACCCUGACGCAGCAACGCCGCGUGAGUGAGGAAGUAUCUCGGUAUGUAAAGCUCUAUCAGCGGGGAAGAAAGAGGACGGUACCCGACUAAGAAGCCCCGGCUAACUACGUGCCAGCAGCCGCGGUAAUACGUAGGGGGCGAGCGUUAUCCGGAUUUACUGGGUGUAAGGGGAGCGUAGACGGCGUCGCAAGUCUGAAGUGAAAGCCCGUGGCUCAACCGCGGAACCGCUUUGGAAACUGCGAGGCUGGAGUGCUGGAGAGGUAAGCGGAAUUCCUGGUGUAGCGGUGAAAUGCGUAGAUAUCAGGAGGAACACCGGUGGCGAAGGCGGCUUACUGGACAGUGACUGACGUUGAGGCUCGAAAGCGUGGGGAGCGAACAGGAUUAGAUACCCUGGUAGUCCACGCGGUAAACGAUGAGUGCUAGGUGUCGGGGGGGCAAAGCCCCUCGGUGCCGCCGCUAACGCAAUAAGCACUCCACCUGGGGAGUACGUUCGCAAGAAUGAAACUCAAAGGAACUGACGGGGACCCGCACAAGCGGUGGAGCAUGUGGUUUAAU